CCUACGGGUGGCAGCAGUGGGGGAUAUUGCACAAUGGGGGGAACCCUGAUGCAGCGACGCCGCGUGGGUGAAGGAGCGUUUCGGCGCGUAAAGCUCUAUCGGCAGGGAAGAAGAUGACGGUACCUGACUAAGAAGCCCCGGCUAACUACGUGCCAGCAGCCGCGGUAAUACGUAGGGGGCAAGCGUUAUCCGGAUUUACUGGGUGUAAUGGGGGCGCAGACGGCAGUGCAAGCCAGGAGUGAAAGCCCGGGGCGCAACCCCGGGACUGCUCUUGAAACUGCAUGGCUGGAGUACAGGAGGGGUAGGCGGAAUUCAUAGUGUAGCGGUGAAAUGCGUAGAUAUUAGGAGGAACACCGGUGGCGAAGGCGGCUUACUGGACUGUGACUGACGUUGAGGCACGAAAGCGUGGGGAGCAAACAGGAUUAGAUACCCCGGUAGUC
rnacentral:rRNA from 1 species